ensembl:lncRNA LINC00424 long intergenic non-protein coding RNA 424
GGGCAGGGACAAAUAAGGGAAUAAAAGCUGGCCACCCCAGCCAGCAGUGGUAACCGGUUUGGGUCCUUUUUCGCAAUGUGGAGUCUUCGUCCUUUUGCUCUUCCCAAAAAACCUUGCUGCCUCUUACUUUUUGGGUCUGUGCCAUCUUUAAGAGCUGUAACACUCACCGUGAAGGUCCGUGGCUUCAUUGAUGAAGUCAGUGAGAAUCAUGAAGUCAGCCAGAGUACUGGUAGGAACCAACCCCAGACACACCAGCACUUUGGUAGGCUGAGGCAGUUGGAUCACCUGAGGUCAGGAGUUUGAGACUGGCCUGACUAAGAUAGUGAAACCCCGUCUCCACUAAAAAUGUAAAAGUUAGCCAGGCAUAGGGACGGGGACCUGUAAUCUCAACUACAGGGGAGGCUGAGGCAGGAGAAUCACUUGAACCUGAGCGCCAGAGGUUGCAGUGAGCUGAGGUCGCAUCAUUGCACUCCAGCCUGGGCGACAGAGUGAGACUCCGUCUUUGAAUAAAUAAAUAAAGUGGACUGGAGCGCUGUGCUUUGCUGCUGUCCAUGAUCUCAAUGGCUACUUUCUAGGAAGGUUACUACACAUUUUUCAUUGAAUUAUUAUACCACUAUUUCAAAAAAAGACAUGCAGAGGGGAAAUAUUUCUAUUUCUGGCCCAUUUUUCUCUAUCCCCAGAGUCCGGAGCUGGCUCUCCUUUACCAGAGUCAGAUCAUGGUCAUCAGACACGUCCCAUUCUCACUCAACCCAGGGGCAACAGAGUGCUGACCACAAAGCACGUGCUUAAUGAGUGAUGAGUGACCCAAAAAACAAAUCAGAAGAUGGGCAAAAAUUCAUCAUCUAAGGGACUAGAAGAAAUGGGAUAUCCUGUGAGGUUCAGAAAAGCCCAGCAAGGGUCAGGGGACACCACUGCAGAAGAAUCAUUGUCAAAUCAUCGCAUAGGAAAACCCAGCAGCCUCAGAGGGGCUCCUGCAGGCCAAGCUCAUGUACAGUGGGCCUGUGCUCUUCCUUAGCAGAAGGGCGUGGCCAGCCCUUGCCCACUGUCCUUACGGCGGGCUUCAACCUGGGCUCAACCUGCACUCUCUUCCCAUCUGCAGCCCUGGAGGGAAUCGACUGCCAGUUUAAGGAGUCAUUGUCCAGUUCAGACUCCAGAAUACGAAACGUAGAAACUGACAGGAAAUGACCAAGUAUAAAUUGCAACUUGUAAAGAAUCAUCUUAAAUCCUGGCACUGCGUUCAAGGGGGAGUUUGAGCAAGGAAUGUUGCUAAAACGGCUAAAACCAGGAACUCAGAAUAUCGUUCUACAAUAGAACCUAAAAACUGUUUCCAACCCAUCACGACAUCACCCUGAAAAAUGAGUGAGCAGUCACUGAGGCUUCCCAAGUUUGAAAAUUCCACAAGACUGAGAGCAAAUGUUUUGUUGAAACUGAAGUCAAGAUGAAGUCAGCUGACUCUCAAACCUCAGGUGAAGUGACUCAGGGCCCACACCCCGGUUCUGAGGCAGGGACACAUUUUACUUGCAGCACCCUGCAGCUUUGGAUGAGGCUGCAACCCGGGUGAAUCCUGGCCCUGCUAUCACGUGGGCAGCCACUGCAUCCUCCGGAGGCUGUGGAUGGGAGUCACCAUGCUGGGAGGUCUGGAGUAAGAUCUGUGCCAUCUGCCUUGCCCAAUCCUGUACCAGUGCCUGUGUUUCAAAAUCUCAAAAUAAAAGUGAUUAUUCUUGCAACACA